AGCUAUCUUUCGGUAACAAGGUUUCUUUCAGCAGCUGAAAGGGGUUAUUAGAUAUAAUUCUGCAAGGGCGAGGUAUUAGUAGGAGCUUUUCAGCUGAGAGCUCUCUCAGACUGCUGCACUCCUAACUGGAGCACCCCAAGCUUUGUGCAUCAGCAAAAGCACAGGAGACCACUGCUAUUGCCAGGACAUGGCACCGCAGGAUUUGAAAACCUGGCAAUGCAUGGGCUUUCAGAUGCUUGAGUUCUGGUAUUUCUGGCUAAAAAGCGAUGGUACGAAGAGCCAGCAGCAGAAACGCGCAAUGUUUUGCACCAUGUCAGCUAUUCCAAACAUACCAACUAACGCCGAUUAUGCUGUUAGCAGCAGUCACUUGGACAGAAAAGGAGCCUGUAACUGACUUGCAUCUCCCUGCAACCCAAAAGCAGUCUCUGGGGCUGCUGCUUCUUUCUCCUAGCUGGCUGAACACGUUGACAGGAUGCAGUAGUUUUGGUGAGCAAAUUCCUGAAGUGGGUGAUGAGAGCACUAAACAUCCACACACCUUCAACAUGCAAACAGACAGCUGUUUUCUAGGCAGUGAUUGAUCCAAUUUCUCUCAGUCUAAGCUGAGAUAAUUCUAUGGCAAUAAAUAUGAAUUCCUAUCAACAUGUUGGCAGCUGAAAAAACACACACAACAACAUGUGGCACAGAGUGCCUGCAUAACUAUUAGCCUUUGCAGGUCUGAAAAACAGAUAGUAGAGAUUGGACAAGCAAAGACGGACAGUACUUGCUAUCCUUCCCAAGACUUGGCAGCCAACAUAUCAGAGCUCUCAGUCUUACUUCAGAAAGUAAUUAAGUAAUUUCUUCACCUCUGUGCAGCAACUCUAAAGCUCUUAAGACGCAUUCAGGGAAGAAGAGUGUGUCUAACAGAAGGGCUAUCAAGCACGAGGAUGGCAGAAACUCCUGAAUUGAAAAUUGUUGGAAGUGUGACAAGUGCAUGAAAGGAAGAGAAAUGCAGAGCUCCCAUCUAUCCAGAUUUAUACACACACUUUUUUUUUUCCCUUUUCUUUUAAAGAAAACCUACCCAACUGCUACAGGCCAUUUUCAGAGACCGGACUCUGGAGCAAAGGCCCAUUUGUCCUAACAAGUCAAGCUUUUGUCUGAGGUCAGGGAACUUGCUGGCAUCAUGCAUCCCACAUAGCUCCUUAGCUCUGUACUUCAAGAAAUGCUGUCUCUCCAAUCUCCAAAUGCAGAAGGGAGGUGUUAAUCACCCAUGGCAGAAUAUUCCACCUGAGAGCACUAUGACAAAAGCACUGCAAGCUGGGUGGCAGAGCAGUAAGGCCAGGUAAGGAGAAGAAAUAACCAAAAUCACAAGAGGACUGACUGGAGUCAGCAUGUUAUAUUACACUUGAGUUAUAACAUGUUAUAUAUAACUUUAAGUUGCUUCUUUUGAGAAGAUGGAAGACAUUUAAACCGGUUGUCUUCAGUUGUAAAACCAAAAAGCUGAAGCACUCCAGUGUUAAAUACUUACAUGCAGCCAGCUGCUUUGUUCCAGUUGCUGUCUUCCUACCGCUUGCUCCCAUGUGAUGUCACCAGUCUCAGCACUGUGACAUCUGCAUUUUUACAACUGAUGUCAGCCUACAUUACAAGUAUAGGCGAAGGGGCUACUACAAGUGAAUUCCCCUACAAGUUGCAAGAAGUCAUAUGUUAAUAUAACCAUGGCUGCUUUAUUCAGCAUAAAGAAAGCCCUGCAUUACUUCAACUUUUUGUAUUCUGCCAUCAACAUUAGUAGCAUGACAAACACUGACGUGGUGAGGACUUUACAUGGGUAUCACUGCCUGAUGAGAGGUCUGGGUCCGUGGUUAGCAAGGUAGCCAGGCAAGGAAGAAAUCAGUCAGCUGUUAGCUGGUACAGGUUAUUCAGUCAGUAGCCUCUUAUGGCACUUAACCAGAACAUCAAAUUUAUUACUAAUUGGUAUUGAACAGGACCAAGUAUUUUGAAGUUAGUAAAUCGACUGCCAC